AUGGCUAGGAUUGAUUGUGCAUCAAAGGUGAACAUAGAUCUUUGCAAUAGAUUUUCUGUUGACCAUUAUCCUUUCCUACUUUGGGGCCCCCCACCAAAAUUUGCUAACACUAAGUGGGACCGGAAGCAAGAGAAAAGCAAACUAAAAUUGAUUGAUGAUGGAAGAACAGCAAAGCGUUUACUUAAGUGGAUAAAUAAGCAAAUGGAAAGCUUGUUCACUUUGGAUGACAAAAAAUAUGAGAACGAAAGUAUGCUUCCAAACAAUGUUUCAUAUCCCAAACAGGUUGUUCAAGCAAUUUACAAUGUUGCGGAAGCAACAGCUCAUGCAUUACAGAUAAUUUUUUAG
rnacentral:rRNA from 1 species